rnacentral:rRNA from 1 species
AGAACGAACGCUGGCGGCAGGCCUCAAACAUGCAAGUCUAGGGGGGUAGCAAUACCCACCGGCGGACGGGUGCGUAACACGUGGGAAUAUACCUUUUGGUUCGGAACAACUGAGGGAAACUUCAGCUAAUACCGAAUGUGUCCUUACGGAGAAAGAUUUAUCGCCAAAGGAUUAGCCCGCGUCCGAUUAGCUAGUUGGUGAGGUAAUGGCUCACCAAGGCUCCGAUCGGUAGCUGUUCUGAGAGGAAGAUCAGCCACACUGGGACUGAGACACGGCCCAGACUCCUACGGGAGGCAGCAGUUGGGAAUCUUGGACAAUGGGGAAACCCUGAUCCAGCCAUGCCGCGUGAGUGAUGAAGGCCUUCGGUGUAAACCACUUUCAGCAGGGACGAUUGUGACGGUACCUGCAGAAGAAGCACCGGCCAACUACGUGCCAGCAGCCGC